GGCCCUAUAGCUCAGCGGUAGAGCGUCGGCUUCCAGUUUCACCCUCCUAGGUUAGGAUUACAUAAGGAUUACGUAAUUUUCCGAUUUCCGAAGGUCGUCCGUUCGAAUCGGGCUGGGGUCA